rnacentral:lncRNA from 1 species
AUAGUUGUUAUAUGUUUAGAGAAUAAUGACAGAAAUAAUGUCUGCACAUUUCAACAGACACAAUUUUUAAAAAUAUUUUUGAUCUGUGGUUGGUUGUACAAAUGCAUGUAGGACCUACAGAUAUGGAGGGCAAAGGCUGCAUGCAGAGAGACUAAGUAGCAAGAGUGCAGUAAGUAUAGUAGAAUCAAACAGAAGAGGUAGAGGUAAAGGAGAGGCAGAUUUGUAUAGGGUUUUGCAGUUAUUGUAAGCACUUAGACUUAUGCUUUUACUCUGAUCAAGAUGGGCAUUAUCAUUGGAAGACUCGGCAAAAGAGUGAUGAGGUGACUGAUCCUUUAAAGGCUCACUCAGUUGCUGAGUUGAGAAGGGUAGACUGUGGAACAAGAGCAGUAACAGAGAGGCCAGACUGGGCUGGAUUACUAAAAUUUUACACUAAGUAUGUAUAUAAAAGAUGAAAUAAAUACAUCAAAAUACUAAUAAGGACUGAACUUAGGCUAUCCUAGUUAUCUAUGAGUGGUCUUAUUUAUACUUUUCUGUUUUCCAGAAUUAGUCUUUUUGAUUAGAGGGAUGAACUUGAAUAUAUUAAGUACAGUAUUAUAGGUACUGUUACUAAAUUUGAAACACUUGCCUUCAAUAAGACUUAAUGUUCAUAAUCUGUCUACAGGAGUACAGUGAAACAUCAGCAAUUUUGAAUAAAUGAUCUAAAUAAAUAAGGGAGAAGUGAGAAUUAGAGAACAAACAUUUUAUACAUAGUUCAGUUAUUUUAAAUUUCAUAUAAUGGAAUUAAAAUAGAAUAUAUUAAUGGUAGAGGUCCUAUUUUAAAGAAGAUGCAAAUGAUUAUGAUAAUAUGACAGCCUUACUACUUACCCUGGUUUACUCUUGCAGUAGAAUUUUAUAAAUUACUAUUUUUUAGGUGAUUGCAUUUAGAUAGUGGUUUUAAUAGACCACUUCUAAUUGAAUUUAUUCCUUCCUUUCUUUACCUGUUGUCUUUUUACCUGGUCUACUCUCUCCCAACCCUAGCUCCUUCUUCUAAUCUUUCAGAGUUCAGCUCAUUUCGCUACAAAAGGGACCUUUCCUGAGUCUGUUAAAUCCUAUCACUCUCAUCCCCUCAGUUCUAAUUCUUGUUACUAUUACAUUGCAGUUGUAAUGAAAUAGUUAUUUGUAUAAUUGUGUGGUUUCCUUUGUUAGAAUAUUAGCACCAUAAAGAUGGGUUUGUAUUUCUCCUACUUAUAGAUGUUUCCUCAUUGAAUAAUGAAUACAUAUGGCAACAGAUAAAUAAACUUACUGUCAUGCUUCUUUUAGAGUUUAGUUGAGGGUCUGGUGCAGUUUUUCUAAUAUUCCUCCUCCCACAGUCUACCCCCUCAUGUAGUUUUUUGUUAUAAGUAAAUGUGUUUAAAUUUUUAAAUCAAAACAACAAAUUUAGUAUUUUUGCUUAAUGUUCAGUGCUUUUAAUAAAAAUAUAUUGAAUUUCUUUAUGAUUUCUCAUUGGGAAUGAAAAAGAAAAAAAAAUCAACUCUGGUAGCACUGCUACACUUUUAAAACUUUUUUAACCUCUGGACUUGUCAGAUUAGUAUAGCCUGACUUUUGUGGAAAACAAAGUAAGGAAAGUCUGGUAUAUUGAUAGUUACAACAUUUAACUGUGAUCCUAAAGGCUUAUUCUGGAAGAGUACAGUUUCUUUCUAGAAGACCAUUUCC